rnacentral:rRNA from 1 species
AACGAACGCUGGCGGCAUGCCUAACACAUGCAAGUCGAACGAGACCUUCGUGUCUAGUGGCGCACGGGUGCGUAACGCGUGGUAACCUGCCCUUAGGUUCGGAAUCACUCCCCGAAGGGGGUGCUCAUACCGGUUAAUGUCUUCGGACCAAAGAUUUCUCGCCUUUGGAUGGGCCCGCGUUGGAUUAGCUAGUUGGUAGGGUAAAAGCCUACCAAGGCGACGUUCCAUAGCUGGUCUGAGAGGAUGAUCAGCCACACUGGGACUGAGACACGGACCAGACUCGUACGGGAGGCAGCAGUGGGGAAUAUUGGAGAAGGGGCGAAAGCCUGAUCAAGCAAUGCCGCGUGAGUGAUGAAGGGCUUAGGGUUGUAAAGCUCUUUUAGCCGGGAUGAUAAUGACAGUAACGGGAGAAUAAGCACCGGCUAACUCCGUG